GAUGAACGCUGGCGGCGUGCCUAAUACAUGCAAGUCGAGCGAACAGAUGAGGAGCUUGCUCCUCUGACGUUAGCGGCGGACGGGUGAGUAACACGUGGAUAACCUACCUAUAAGACUGGGAUAACUUCGGGAAACCGGAGCUAAUACCGGAUAAUAUAUUGAACCGCAUGGUUCAAUAGUGAAAGACGGUUUUGCUGUCACUUAUAGAUGGAUCCGCGCCGCAUUAGCUAGUUGGUAAGGUAACGGCUUACCAAGGCAACGAUGCGUAGCCGACCUGAGAGGGUGAGUCGGCCCAAUGGGACUGAGACCCGGGCCCGACUCCCACGGGAGGGAGCAGUGGGGAAUAUUUGACAAAGGGCGGAAACCUUAACGAGCAAACCCGCGUGGGGUAAGAAGGGUUUCCGGUUCGAAAACCUUUUUAGUUGGGAGAAAACAAAUUUAUAAAAAACCUUGCAGGUUUGACGGGAACCAAAGAAAAAACCCCGGCCAAAUUCCUG
rnacentral:rRNA from 1 species